AGAACGAACGCUGGCGGCAUGCCUAAUACAUGCAAGUCGAACGAACUCUUCGGAGUUAGUGGCGCACGGGUGCGUAACGCGUGGGAAUCUGCCCCUUGGUUCGGAAUAACAGUUGGAAACGACUGCUAAUACCGGAUGAUGACGAAAGUCCAAAGAUUUAUCGCCCAGGGAUGAGCCCGCGUAGGGUUAGCUAGUUGGUGAGGUAAAGGCUCACCAAGGCGACGAUCCUUAGCUGGUCUGAGAGGAUGAUCAGCCACACUGGGACUGAGACACGGCCCAGACUCCUACGGGAGGCAGCAGUAGGGAAUAUUGGACAAUGGGCGAAAGCCUGAUCCAGCAAUGCCGCGUGAGUGAUGAAGGCCUUAGGUUGUAAAGCUCUUUUACCCGAGAUGAUAAUGACAGUAUCGGAGAAUAAGCCCCGGAUAACCGUCCGUGCCAGCCAGCCGC
rnacentral:rRNA from 1 species